rnacentral:rRNA from 1 species
UACGUAGGGAGCAAGCGUUGUCCGGAAUCAUUGGGCGUAAAGCGCGCGUAGGUGGCCCCAUAAGUCCGCUGUGAAAGUCAAAGGCUCAACCUUUGAAAGCCGGUGGAUACUGCGGGACUAGAGUACGGAAGAGGCGAGUGGAAUUCCUGGUGUAGCGGUGGAAUGCGCAGAUAUCAGGAGGAACACCAAUAGCGAAGGCAGCUCGCUGGGACGUUACUGACACUGAGGCGCGAAAGCGUGGGGAGCGAACAGG